rnacentral:rRNA from 1 species
CCUACGGGAGGCAGCAGUGGGGGAUAUUGGACAAUGGGGGGAACCCUGAUCCAGCGACGCCGCGUGAGUGAAGAAGUAUUUCGGUAUGUAAAGCUCUGUCAGCAGGGAAGAAAGAAAUGACGGUACCUGACCAAGAAGCCCCGGCUAACUACGUGCCAGCAGCCGCGGUAAAACGUAGGGGGCAAGCGUUAUCCGGAAUUACUGGGUGUAAAGGGAGCGUAGACGGUUAAGUAAGUCUGGAGUGAAAGGCCGGGGCUCAACCCCGGGACUGCUCUGGAAACUAUUUAACUUGAGUGCAGGAGAGGUAAGCGGAAUUCCUAGUGUAGCGGUGAAAUGCGUAGAUAUUAGGAGGAACACCAGUGGCGAAGGCGGCUUACUGGACUGUAACUGACGUUGAGGCUCGAAAGCGUGGGGAGCAAACAGGAUUAGAUACCCCUGUAGUC